AAGUCGUAACAAGGUUUCCGUAGGUGAACCUGCGGAAGGAUCAUUAAACCUUAUACUUCGGGGGGCCGGCGUUGAAUAGCAGUUCCAUUGUGGAUCAGCUUUUCUCCCCGCCCUGUCUGAAUAUUACCCAUGCUUUUUGCGUACCCAUUGUUUCCUCGGCAGGCUUGCCUGCCAGCAGGACCCCUUUAAAACCUUUUGCAAUUGCAGUCAGCGUCAGAAAAAAACCUUAAUAGUUACAACUUUCAACAACGGAUCUCUUGGUUCUG
rnacentral:misc_RNA from 1 species